rnacentral:sRNA from 1 species
UCAGCGGCAUUUGGCAGUGGACAGCGCGUAAAGGAAAUCGACAAUGCAGAGAGCUAUCACUACGAUCUGCUUUGCAUUUUCCUAUGGCUUCCCCGGGGCUAAAAGGAGCUUUAAAGUUAAAAAUAUGGGCGGAUGAUCGACCGAUCAACCCACGUUUGUUCAAAGCUUGCUCUGCCGAGUUUGAAGAAUGGGGUAAUACGUAACAAGACCUCCUUUUGGCGUUAUGAAUCCGGCGCUAUGUACAGAUAUGGAUAUGGAAUGUGGAAAUAUAGAUGAGAAUAAUGAAACAGAACAGUAGAACAAAGUUGAGAGUCUAUGUAGGGAGGGUAUAAUGGUAUGGAUCUAAGGAAUUGAAGAUUUCCAAAACUUCAAGAAGAAUAUGUGCGCGAUGUAAGUUAAAUACAGAGGCAAUAAUAAUAGCAUCGGUAGUAAUGCAAUAAUAGUAUGUACAAG